UGUUGGGAUUUAUUUGCAGUUUGCCCAAGAAGUGGAAAUCAGUACGAAAGUACAUUAAUUCAGGCAUUCUUAAGAAUGUUGUUCCAGAUUUUAGUUAUCGCAAGUACAACAUCUGCACAGAAAAAUUACGAAGAUCGUGUACUUCUAGAUCAUAGCUACCCUGGGAGUGACUGUCUUGAAACCAUAACAAUAUAAAUGGACAAAAUAGUUGGUCACUUGAACACAGUUAACAGACAUCACUGGGCAAAGAAUGUAUGGAACUUGAUGUAAAACACCAUUUACUGGAUUUCUAACUGCAAUCAAACCUAUGUAGCAAUUAUAUGAAACUUAAGUGUCAUCGUCUUCACCCUCUUUGAAGUUCCUAUUGACAUGCAACUCCAGUCAAGAUGACUUGGAACAUGUUUUUCUUGUUUUUGCGGCUGCUAUUCACCAUUUGGUAAAGGCAUCAGCCAGCAAAUGUCAUCAAAGUACAUCAGGCAACAGAAAGUUGUUGUGAGAGACUUCUGAAGUCAACAAAUGGUGACCUUCCUCAGGCAAGUACAAUUGGCCUUGGAAUACGUAUUUUUGAAUAUAAGUUUUUGUGGUUUAAAUGGACAUGUUUGCAUCACCUUGCUAAACAACAUUCUGCAAAAGUUGUAGGUGAGAAGGUUAAUACAACUGUCACCAAUGGAGAUAAAGUGGAAAAUUAACAAAGCAUUUGAACAAGUGGAUUCUUAAGUUAAGUAUUCACAUAGAUGCUUUUGCAGCUAAUCACACAAAAACACUACUAGAUCCAGAACUUGCUU